AACGAACGCUGGCGGCAGGCUUAACACAUGCAAGUCGAACGCCCCGCCAGGGGAGUGGCAGACGGGUGAGUACCGCGUGGGAACAUACCCUUUUCUACGGAAUAGCUCUGGGAAACUGGAAUUAAUACCGUAUACGCCCUACGGGGGAAAGAUUUAUCGGGGAAGGAUUGGCCCGCGUUGGAUUAGCUAGUUGGUGGGGUAAAGGCCUACCAAGGCGACGAUCCAUAGCUGGUCUGAGAGGAUGAUCAGCCACAUUGGGACUGAGACACGGCCCAAACUCCUACGGGAGGCAGCAGUGGGGAAUAUUGGACAAUGGGCGCAAGCCUGAUCCAGCCAUGCCGCGUAAGUGAUGAAGGCCUUAGGGUUGUAAAGCUCUUUCACCGAUGAAGAUAAUGACGGUAGUCGGAGAAGAAGCCCCGGCUAACUUCGUG
rnacentral:rRNA from 1 species